AUGGAGAUACUUGCAAGAAAUGUGGCUUUUCUUUUCAUUUUUUCAGAACUCUGGAAAGUUACUUUCAAAUUAUUUGUUCAUCUACACUGUCUUGUUCAUCUUGGUCUCCUGGAUGGUCCUCAAGUGGAACCACAAGGCCGUCUAUUACUCCCCCCACUGAAUGUCUCCUUCCUCUCCGGCAAUAGGUGCUUCCAUCAGCGAGCAUUUAAACAUCAGGGCUUAGUAAAAGAAGGAAGUGAACUGGAGGAGUUUUAUUUGGAAAGUGAUGUGGUUCUUCUCAUAAACCUGAGCAAUCUCUGCCACCAAGUCCCCACCCUGAUGAUGAAGGCAUAGCAACACCACAUAGCUGAGAACCACAACCAUUGACAAAUAAAAGUUAUAGAUGAUACA
rnacentral:lncRNA from 1 species